GGUUAACGCUGGCGGCGUGCUUAAUACAUGCAAGUCGAGCGAGGUUACUGGAGUGGAGCCCUUCGGGGUGAAGCUGCUUUAACCUAGCGGCGGACGGGUGAGUAACGCGUGGGUAACCUACCCCAAAGUCCGGGAUAACAGCGGGAAACCGCUGCUAAUACCGGAUGCCUUUACCUUGGGGCAUCUUGAGGUAAAGAAAGGCAACGCUUUGGGAUGGGCCCGCGUCCCAUUAGCUAGUUGGUGAGGUAACGGCUCACCAAGGCGACGAUGGGUAGCCGGCCUGAGAGGGUGGACGGCCACACUGGGACUGAGACACGGCCCAGACUCCUACGGGAGGCAGCAGUGGGGAAUCUUCCGCAAUGGGCGCAAGCCUGACGGAGCAACGCCGCGUGGGUGAAGAAGGCCUCGGUUGUAAGACCUGUCUUAUGGAAGAAGUACAGUGACGGUACCAUAGGAGGAAGGACCACGGCUAACUAACGUGCCAGCAGCCGCGGUAAGAGUAGUAGUACUACGUAGACGGCGGCGUCGGACGAGGCG
rnacentral:rRNA from 1 species